UAAAGUUCAGAAAUUAUUUCACCAAUAACUAAUACAACAAUGUGUGCAAUAUUCUACAUAAUCCCCUCAUAAUUUUCCAAGUGAAACCAACAUCAAUGGAAUUUUUAAAUCAACCAUAGAAACUUUUUAGUUGACCAAUAACAUUUAAAUUGGCCUCUUAAAAAUAAACAGUUAUUACAAACCAUUACAAUUGACAUGAAACUUUUUGUGCAGCUUCACAAUGUUACCAUCUAUUUUUGUGCAAAGUGCCACAUUUAACAAACAUAAAUCAGUAGCUCUUUUGAAAAUGAAAACACUAGCUAACUAAAAAAACAGAAAAGAAUAAAAAACAAGAGAUAUGACAUACCUAUGCACCUCGGCUUCUAGUACACAAGAGAGGCCCAGCCCACCAACUCCAUCUUCUACUUCAUCCUGCUCAACGAGCCGGCGUGGAUGACCGCACAACGUCCAUGGCCUGGAUCUGCCGCAUCGCUGUGAGACCCUCUCCUCCUCCCCUCACUUCACGAGCUUGCUCUCCCGCCCGUAGCUAGCUCCCCUCCGUUGUUGUGCCCGCGUCGCCGCCGUUUGCCUCGCUGCCGCAGCCACAGGGAGCCUGACUCGCUCCCAAGCACG
rnacentral:lncRNA from 1 species